rnacentral:rRNA from 1 species
AUUGAACGCUGGCGGCAGGCCCAACACAUGCCAGUCGAACGGUAACAGGAAGCAGCUUGCUGCUUUGCUGACGAGUGGCGGACGGGUGAGUAAUGUCUGGGAAACUGCCUGAUGGAGGGGGAUAACUACUGGAAACGGUAGCUAAUACCGCAUAACGUCGCAAGACCAAAGAGGGGGACCUUCGGGCCUCUUGCCAUCGGAUGUGCCCAGAUGGGAUUAGCUAGUAGGUGGGGUAACGGCUCACCUAGGCGACGAUCCCUAGCUGGUCUGAGAGGAUGACCAGCCACACUGGAACUGAGACACGGUCCAGACUCCUACGGGAGGCAGCAGUGGUGAAUAUUGCACAAUGGGCGCAAGCCUGAUGCAGCCAUGCCGCGUGUAUGAAGAAGGCCUUCGGGUUGUAAAGUACUUUCAGCGGGGAGGAAGGGAGUAAAGUUAAUACCUUUGCUCAUUGACGUUACCCGCAGAAGAAGCACCGGCUAACUCCGUG